UGACAGUGACAAAAAGGAAGCAGCCUUCUCUAGCCCACCCAAGUUUCCAUCAAAGGAGCAAGCCUAUGUCAGUAAGAAGAAAGCUGGCUAACCCUCCCACCCCUUGUUUAACUCCUCCAGCCCAUCCCACAUCAUUGUAGAGUGAAGAGACUGCGGUUAAUAUUCAGAAAGAGGCGCCGAGAACUGAAGGCUUUCCUGACUUGACACCGAAUAAUAACGAAGGCCUGUGUGCUUUACAGCAGCCUCCACGUCACCCUCUUCCAGGGCUCCGUCAGAGGACUAACGAUAGUAAGAUAUUUUACAUGUAA